UUUUGGCAAGGCUUCUAAGUGAAUGAAAAUGUGAUGUAUGGCCAAAUGAGGAAAACAAAACAUUGGCUGAAGUCUUGCAUUUGUGCAGAAUGGCUUGGUCUGGCAGCAAGCAAGGAAUCAAUUCAAGAUGGUGACUUUGUGGAAACACAACUUGAUGAGCAAAUCAACAAUUGAGGAGAUAAUGCAAACAGUAGAGAGAUAACAUGGAGUAUGGCAUGUUUCAUGUUGAACAUG
rnacentral:lncRNA from 1 species